ACUUCGCGUUUGUACAGCUGCGGCUUCUCGGCGCUUAAAAAUGGCGAUCUUUCAUGGUCUUGUUAUUGUUGUUGGUCUUAACAACUCCGCCCCCCCCCGCUGACGUAAGCGGUUCUUUCCUCUGGCCCAGCAGAGAGUUGGUGCUAGCCUGGAACCGGCUUGGACUGAUAAAAGAAACAGACUCUCUGUUGCAAUGGUGAAGGCUGAGCUUCAAGUCAGGCUAAACUUUCAGUUGUCCUGUACUGAGUUCAAGACAUUCAUUGAAAAUCAGCCAGGACUCAUAGCAGCAGCAAAGAAAAACACCAAAUAUAAAUGGAAGAUUAGCCAAGAGCAGCAGAGGCACAGGCAAGCACAAGCAAAGCACACACCACACUCUAAGCAAUCAGUUGUCCACAACCAAAAACUGUUGGAAAUAAACCAAAAUACUGAAGACCUAGCCUAGUAAACUAGACCCACCCGCCUAGCGGCCAAAAAUAUUUUUGCCUAGCGAGUGGGUCUAGCCUCGCACCAUGUAAACAAAAACACCCCGGGCAUCAAAUCGUGCCCGCCAAUCACAACGCAAGGUUUUUGUUUGGAUUCUUUGGGCGGGCUUUUGCAGGAGUGACGACAAAGCUGCGUGACGCUGGAGAAAGCACAACAGGAAAGAUGGCUACGGCUAGUGAACAGCGCGCGUUUGACUCCGCUUUGGAAUCAGUUUUAGAAGAAUUAGACUUGGAGUUUCCGUUGAAACAUGAGCAGGAAGAGGCUCUCCGCUCGUUCCUUUUCAAGAAGGACGUUUUCGCUGUUUUGCCGACCGGCUAUGGCAAAAGUCUGAUCUACCAGCUGGCUCCGCUCGUAGCCAAAAGGAUGGGGCUAGUUUGUGCAGUACGAAGAAUUAAUAAACAGCUUUGAAACAUUACUUUUUGAUUGUUUCUUAUUUUCCCGUCAUUUUAAAUUUAAGGGAAAUUAUUUCACCAAACACCACUAAAUAAAAACUCUCAAAAACAGUUUAAGCAAACCCUUGAAAAACACUUGGGGAAAAAAAAUGAGUGUAUGUUAUGUAUGUGGUACAGACUCCAAACUUGUGGUCAUUAUCUCCAAACUUCUUAAUAUCUAGAACAUGUUUAUUAAUUAAUACGCAUUUUGAAAAAUUAUUUAUUUCAAGGCCUCCCCCACUGCUUUCUGUCACUCUGACUACGUCACAGUCACUGUUGCGCUGAUUGGUCAGAGCGUUGGCCUAUACGCACAGAGACAGUUUGAAAGACAGCGGUUUGUUCCUCCUACCCGCUUCGGAAAUGUCUACGGAUUGAGGCCAGAAUAAAUAUUCACAUUUAGUCUGGCUUGCCAGGCUAAUGAAGACCUGCUAUAUUAUGUAAAGCAAUUAACUAAACAAAUAACUAGCAAAAGCGUCAUUUUUACUAAUUAGAGCAAUACAGUUUCAGCGUAGAAGGGCGAUUUUUGUCUUGGGUUAGAUGUGUGAAGGGCGCCGUUGCUUACAAGCAAAAAGGUCGAUUGGAUGGUCGAAAUGUCCAGGAUUUUUGUCAGACACAGGUGGCAACCC